UUGUGACUUAGUUAGGGGGCAAAUAUUAAUUAGGAUUUUUUGAAAGAUAGGCAUAUUGAUUGAAUGGACAAUCUGCUUUUAUUAUCAGCUGUCCUCAAGCUGCCUUUCACAAUC
rfam:Medicago truncatula strain A17 chromosome 7, whole genome shotgun sequence.